UUGAAGUCGUGGGUUAAGCAUGAAUUGGAAUGUUGAAUGGUCAAAGACUUGUCCAUAACCAUGAUUGUGUAGAGUCCUUGAUCGAGCUUGUUCCGAGGAAAUACAAGUUUGAGUUUUCCCAGCCUAAAGAGAAGGGUAAUGGUAGGGAAGAUGAAGAAGGACAAGUUGAAUGCAGCAGUAAUGGUGGAAAAGAAGGCUGCGAUACAAUGUUUCUUAUGUGGUGGUCUGCAUAUGGUAAGGGGUUGUUCGAAACGAUCUGUAUUUUCUACCAUUAAAGGGGACGAUGAACCAGAAAAAGCAAUGAUGAGGCUUGGCUCGGUAGUGCAUUUUGUCGAAGCCAAGAGGGUCAGAGAGAGCAAAAGAAACAAGUGGAGUGCUUCUUAUGUAGUAGUUCGUAUAUGAUGCGAGAUUGUUUAGAGUGAUCCAAGAUCUCCACAAUCAAGAAAGAAGAAGCGAAGCCUGUUGAGGAUAAGCC
rnacentral:lncRNA from 1 species